rnacentral:rRNA from 1 species
ACGAUGAAGAGUUUGAUCCUGGCUCAGGAUGAACGCUAGCGGCAGGCCUAACACAUGCAAGUCGAGGGGCAGCACGUCUUCGGAUGGUGGCGACCGGCGCACGGGUGCGUAACGCGUAUACAAUCUACCUAUCACUGAGGAAUAGCCCGAAGAAAUUUGGAUUAACGCCUCAUGGUACCAGCUAAUCGCAUGAUUUACUGGUUAAAGGUUACGGUGAUAGAUGAGUAUGCGUCCUAUUAGCUAGAUGGAGAGGUAACGGCUCCCCAUGGCUACGAUAGGUAGGGGUCCUGAGAGGGAGAUCCCCCACACUGGUACUGAGACACGGACCAGACUCCUACGGGAGGCAGCAGUGAGGAAUAUUGGACAAUGGGCGAGAGCCUGAUCCAGCCAUGCCGCGUGCAGGAAGACGGCCCUAUGGGUUGUAAACUGCUUUUGUACGGGAAGAAACCCCUCUACGUGUAGAGGGCUGACGGUACCGUAAGAAUAAGCACCGGCUAACUCCGUGCCAGCAGCCGCGGUAAUACGGAGGGUGCAAGCGUUAUCCGGAAUCAUUGGGUUUAAAGGGUCCGUAGGCGGGUGUUUAAGUCAGUGGUGAAAUGCAGGGGCUCAACUCCGGCACUGCCAUUGAUACUGAACAUCUUGAAUUAUUGUGAAGUGGCUAGAAUAUGUAGUGUAGCGGUGAAAUGCUUAGAUAUUACAUAGAAUACCGAUUGCGAAGGCAGGUCACUAACAAUACAUUGACGCUGAGGGACGAAAGCGUGGGUAGCGAACAGGAUUAGAUACCCUGGUAGUCCACGCCGUAAACGAUGGUUACUAGCUGUCCGGUACGAUUGAGUACUGGGUGGCCAAGCGAAAGUGAUAAGUAACCCACCUGGGGAGUACGUUCGCAAGAAUGAAACUCAAAGGAAUUGACGGGGCCCGCACAAGCGGUGGAGCAUGUGGUUUAAUUCGAUGAUACGCGAGGAACCUUACCAGGGCUUAAAUGCAGACUGACAGGCUUGGAAACAGGCUUUUCUUCGGACAGUUUGCAAGGUGCUGCAUGGUUGUCGUCAGCUCGUGCCGUGAGGUGUCAGGUUAAGUCCUAUAACGAGCGCAACCCCUAUUGCUAGUUGCCAGCGAGUCAUGUCGGGGACUCUAGCGAGACUGCCGGUGCAAACCGUGAGGAAGGUGGGGAUGACGUCAAAUCAUCACGGCCCUUACGUCCUGGGCCACACACGUGCUACAAUGGUAGGGACAGAGAGCAGCCACCUCGUGAGAGGGAGCGAAUCUAUAAACCCUAUCACAGUUCGGAUCGUAGUCUGCAACUCGACUACGUGAAGCUGGAAUCGCUAGUAAUCGCAUAUCAGCCAUGAUGCGGUGAAUACGUUCCCGGGCCUUGUACACACCGCCCGUCAAGCCAUGGAAGCUGGGGGUACCUGAAGUCGGUGACCGCAAGGAGCUGCCUAGGGUAAAACCGGUAACUGGGGCUAAGUCGUAACAAGGUAGCCGUACCGGAAGGUGCGGCUGGAACACCUCCUUUCU